rnacentral:rRNA from 1 species
GAUGAACGCUGGCGGCGUGCCUAAUACAUGCAAGUCGAGCGAAUGGAUUGAGAGCUUGCUCUUAUGAAGUUAGCGGCGGACGGGUGAGUAACACGUGGGUAACCUGCCCAUAAGACUGGGAUAACUCCGGGAAACCGGGGCUAAUACCGGAUAACAUUUUGAACCGCAUGGUUCGAAAUUGAAAGGCGGCUUCGGCUGUCACUUAUGGAUGGACCCGCGUCGCAUUAGCUAGUGGGUGAGGUAACGGCCCACCAAGGCAACGAUGCGUAGCCGACCUGGGAGGGUGAUCGGCCACGCUGGGACUGAGACACGGCCCAGACUCCUACGGGAGGCAGCAGUAGGGAAUCUUCCGCAAUGGACGAAAGUCUGACGGAGCAACGCCGCGUGAGUGAUGAAGGCUUUCGGGUCGUAAAACUCUGUUGUUAGGGAAGAACAAGUGCUAGUUGAAUAAGCUGGCACCUUGACGGUACCUAACCAGAAAGCCACGGCUAACUACGUGCCAGCCGCCGCAGUAA